AACUAACCACCUAAAAUAAUGGCCACUCUCGUAUCCAAAAUGGUCUAGGUUUCUUACUUUGACCGUCACAUAAUUUAUUGAUGAAAUCAUUUAACACGAUCUUAUUUAAAAUAAGUUUAACAUUUCAACUUUAUUCCGGGUAAUUACACUGUUAUAAAUACGGAUUCGAAAUUUACUGAUCACUGUUUCUUUUUGUAUUGUAGUAUAAAUUUCAAACUAUUA